rnacentral:rRNA from 1 species
UACGUAGGGUGCGAGCGUUAAUCGGAAUUACUGGGCGUAAAGCGUGCGCAGGCGGUUUUAUAAGCCAGAUGUGAAAGCCCCGGGCUCAACCUGGGAAUGGCAUUUGGGACUGUAAGGCUGGAGUAUGGCAGGGGAGACUAGAAUUCCUGGUGUAGCAGUGAAAUGCGUAGAUAUCAGGAGGAAUACCGAUGGCGAAGGCAGGUCUCUGGGCCAAUACUGACGCUCAUGCACGAAAGCGUGGGGAGCAAACAGG